rnacentral:sRNA from 1 species
GUUCGCACCUGCUACUGACCUUCAGAAUUGAGUUCGGCGCGGCGCCUCAUCCACGUCGCGUCGACCUAAGGGCCCACCCGGUUGUCCCCCCGGGUGGGUC